UCGAUACUCCACCGACUAUGAGCGUCGC
rnacentral:sRNA from 1 species